GGUUAAGCGACUAAGCGUACACGGUGGAUGCCCUGGCAGUCAGAGGCGAUGAAGGACGUGCUAAUCUGCGAAAAGCGUCGGUAAGGUGAUAUGAACCGUUACAGCCGGCGAUGUCCGAAUGGGGAAACCCAGUGCAAUUCGUUGCACUAUCGUUAACUGAAUACAUAGGUUAACGAGGCGAACCGGGGGAACUGAAACAUCUAAGUACCCCGAGGAAAAGAAAUCAACCGAGAUUCCCCCAGUAGCGGCGAGCGAACGGGGAGCAGCCCAGAGUCUGAAUCAGCUUGUGUGUUAGUGGAACGGUCUGGAAAGUCCGACGGUACAGGGUGAUAGUCCCGUACACCAAAAUGCACAGGUUGUGAACUCGAAGAGUAGGGCGGGACACGUGGUAUCCUGUCUGAAUAUGGGGGGACCAUCCUCCAAGGCUAAAUACUCCUGACUGACCGAUAGUGAACCAGUACCGUGAGGGAAAGGCGAAAAGAACCCCGGCGAGGGGAGUGAAAAAGAACCUGAAACCGUGUACGUACAAGCAGUGGGAGCACCUUCGGGUGUGACUGCGUACCUUUUGUAUAAUGGGUCAGCGACUUAUAUUCUGUAGCAAGGUUAACCGUAUAGGGGAGCCGCAGGGAAACCGAGUCUUAACUGGGCGUUAAGUUGCAGGGUAUAGACCCGAAACCCGGUGAUCUAGCCAUGGGCAGGUUGAAGGUUGGGUAACACUAACUGGAGGACCGAACCGACUAAUGUUGAAAAAUUAGCGGAUGACUUGUGGCUGGGGGUGAAAGGCCAAUCAAACCGGGAGAUAGCUGGUUCUCCCCGAAAGCUAUUUAGGUAGCGCCUCGUGAACUCAUCUUCGGGGGUAGAGCACUGUUUCGGCUAGGGGGUCAUCCCGACUUACCAACCCGAUGCAAACUACGAAUACCGAAGAAUGUUAUCACGGGAGACACACGGCGGGUGCUAACGUCCGUCGUGAAGAGGGAAACAACCCAGACCGCCAGCUAAGGUCCCAAAGUCAUGGUUAAGUGGGAAACGAUGUGGGAAGGCACAGACAGCCAGGAUGUUGGCUUAGAAGCAGCCAUCAUUUAAAGAAAGCGUAAUAGCUCACUGGUCGAGUCGGCCUGCGCGGAAGAUGUAACGGGGCUAAACCAUGCACCGAAGCUGCGGCAGCGACACUAUGUGUUGUUGGGUAGGGGAGCGUUCUGUAAGCCUGCGAAGGUGACCUGUGAGGGUUGCUGGAGGUAUCAGAAGUGCGAAUGCUGACAUAAGUAACGAUAAAGCGGGUGAAAAGCCCGCUCGCCGGAAGACCAAGGGUUCCUGUCCAACGUUAAUCGGGGCAGGGUGAGUCGACCCCUAAGGCGAGGCCGAAAGGCGUAGUCGAUGGGAAACAGGUUAAUAUUCCUGUACUUGGUGUUACUGCGAAGGGGGGACGGAGAAGGCUAUGUUAGCCGGGCGACGGUUGUCCCGGUUUAAGCAUGUAGGCUGAUUGUCCAGGCAAAUCCGGAUAAUCAAGGCUGAGGUGUGAUGACGAGGCACUACGGUGCUGAAGUAACAAAUGCCCUGCUUCCAGGAAAAGCCUCUAAGCAUCAGGUAACAUCAAAUCGUACCCCAAACCGACACAGGUGGUCAGGUAGAGAAUACCAAGGCGCUUGAGAGAACUCGGGUGAAGGAACUAGGCAAAAUGGUGCCGUAACUUCGGGAGAAGGCACGCUGGUGUGUAGGUGAAGUCCCUGCGGAUGGAGCUGAGACCAGUCGAAGAUACCAGCUGGCUGCAACUGUUUAUUAAAAACACAGCACUGUGCAAACACGAAAGUGGACGUAUACGGUGUGACGCCUGCCCGGUGCCGGAAGGUUAAUUGAUGGGGUUAUCCGUAAGGAGAAGCUCUUGAUCGAAGCCCCGGUAAACGGCGGCCGUAACUAUAACGGUCCUAAGGUAGCGAAAUUCCUUGUCGGGUAAGUUCCGACCUGCACGAAUGGCGUAAUGAUGGCCAGGCUGUCUCCACCCGAGACUCAGUGAAAUUGAACUCGCUGUGAAGAUGCAGUGUACCCGCGGCAAGACGGAAAGACCCCGUGAACCUUUACUAUAGCUUGACACUGAACAUUGAGCCUUGAUGUGUAGGAUAGGUGGGAGGCUUUGAAGCGUGGACGCCAGUCUGCGUGGAGCCAACCUUGAAAUACCACCCUUUAAUGUUUGAUGUUCUAACGUUGGCCCCUGACCGGGGUUGCGGACAGUGUCUGGUGGGUAGUUUGACUGGGGCGGUCUCCUCCCAAAGCGUAACGGAGGAGCACGAAGGUUAGCUAAUCCUGGUCGGACAUCAGGAGGUUAGUGCAAUGGCAUAAGCUAGCUUGACUGCGAGCGUGACGGCGCGAGCAGGUGCGAAAGCAGGUCAUAGUGAUCCGGUGGUUCUGAAUGGAAGGGCCAUCGCUCAACGGAUAAAAGGUACUCCGGGGAUAACAGGCUGAUACCGCCCAAGAGUUCAUAUCGACGGCGGUGUUUGGCACCUCGAUGUCGGCUCAUCACAUCCUGGGGCUGAAGUAGGUCCCAAGGGUAUGGCUGUUCGCCAUUUAAAGUGGUACGCGAGCUGGGUUUAGAACGUCGUGAGACAGUUCGGUCCCUAUCUGCCGUGGGCGCUGGAGAAUUGAGGGGGGCUGCUCCUAGUACGAGAGGACCGGAGUGGACGCAUCACUGGUGUUCGGGUUGUCAUGCCAAUGGCACUGCCCGGUAGCUAAAUGCGGAAGAGAUAAGUGCUGAAAGCAUCUAAGCACGAAACUUGCCCCGAGAUGAGUUCUCCCUGAGACUUUAAGUCUCCUGAAGGAACGUUAAAGACGAUGACGUUGAUAGGCCGGGUGUGUAAGCGCAGCGAUGCGUUGAGCUAACCGGUACUAAUGAACCGUGAGGCUUAACCUU
rnacentral:rRNA from 1 species